UUUGCCUUUCAUCUUCUCUUUUCGUCGUUGUUCGGCUUCGGUGCUUCGUAGGUGUAUAGAUUGCACGCGUCAAUACUACGGCUCCUUCGUGGUUGUUCAACUUCACUCCUUCGAUGACUUUCCCUUCCUGUCGGAUCAGAAGUUAGGACAUUUUUGAUCGGAUGCAACAACGGGAGCUCGUUGGCUUUGAAGAGGCGGCGACAACGACGAUGGCGGCGAGGGCGACGACGUGAUGCAGCCAAGGAACAAUGAGGCUGGAUUAGAUCCGGCUAUCAUUUCUUCAUUUCCGAUGCUUCGCCGUCAUAAGGCGACGCAGUUGGUGGAGGGGAGACGCGUAUCAAGACCAGGACGAAGGUGAUUUUAGUGGCUCUCCGUGCCAAAACAAAGAUGAAUGUAGUGGCUGCAAAGAUAAAAAUUUGUAAGCUGGGUGCUUCUCAAUAAAUAAAUGCUUAGUUUCGUUUGUUAAAAAA